GGUGGGGUGUCGGAGUGGCCUAACGAGCUGGUCUUGAAAACCAGUAUCCCGGCAACGGGAUCGCGAGUUCGAAUCUCGCCCCCACCG
rnacentral:tRNA from 1 species